rnacentral:rRNA from 1 species
CCUACGGGUGGCAGCAGUCGGGAAUAUUGCGCAAUGGAGGAAACUCUGACGCAGUGACGCCGCGUGCAGGAAGAAGGUUUUCGGAUUGUAAACUGCUUUAGACAGGGAAGAAACAAGACAGUACCUGUAAAAUAAGCUCCGGCUAACUACGUGCCAGCAGCCGCGGUAAUACGUAGGGAGCAAGCGUUAUCCGGAUUUAUUGGGUGUAAAGGGAGCGUAGACGGUGCGCCAAGUCUGGAGUGAAAGGCCGCAGCUUAACUGCGGAACUGCUUUGGAAACUGGCGAACUAGAGUGCGGGAGGGGUAAGCGGAAUUCCUAGUGUAGCGGUGAAAUGCGUAGAUAUUAGGAGGAACACCGGUGGCGAAGGCGGCUUACUGGACCGUAACUGACGUUGAGGCUCGAAAGCGUGGGGAGCAAACAGGAUUAGAUACCCUAGUAGUC